UACGAACCGUCCGAACGUUAUUCGGAAUUACUGGGCGUAAAGCGCACGUAGGCGGAUUGGAAAGUUGGGGGUGAAAUCCCGGGGCUCAACUCCGGAACUGCCUUUGAUACUGGUGGUCUAGAGACCGAGAGAGGUAAGUGGAACUCCUAGUGUAGAGGUGGAAUUCGUAGAUAUUAGGAAGAACACCGGUGGCGAAGGCGGUCAACUGGCCCUAAACUGACGCUCAGGCACGAAAGCGUGGGGAUCAAACAGG
rnacentral:misc_RNA from 1 species